rnacentral:rRNA from 1 species
CCUACGGGCGGCAGCAGUGGGGAAUAUUGGACAAUGGGCGAAAGCCUGAUCCAGCCAUGCCGCGUGUGUGAAGAAGGCCUUCGGGUUGUAAAGCACUUUCAGUGGGGAAGAAAGCCUUGGGGCUAAUACCCUCGAGGAAGGACAUCACCCACAGAAGAAGCACCGGCUAACUCCGUGCCAGCAGCCGCGGUAAUACGGAGGGUGCGAGCGUUAAUCGGAAUUACUGGGCGUAAAGCGCGCGUAGGCGGUCUGAUAAGCCGGUUGUGAAAGCCCCGGGCUCAACCUGGGAACGGCAUCCGGAACUGUCAGGCUAGAGUGCAGGAGAGGAAGGUAGAAUUCCCGGUGUAGCGGUGAAAUGCGUAGAGAUCGGUAGGAAUACCAGUGGCGAAGGCGGCCUUCUGGACUGACACUGACGCUGAUGUGCGAAAGCGUGGGUAGCAAACAGGAUUAGAUACCCUUGUAGUC